rnacentral:rRNA from 1 species
AUACGAAGGGCCCGAGCGUUGCGCGGAAUCACUGGGCUUAAAGCGUACGUAGGCGGACAAGAAGGCAUCUUGUGAAAGCCCUCGGCUCAACCGAGGAAUUGCUUGGUGAACCGCUUGUCUUGAGGCGAGUAGGGGCUGUCGGAACGAUAGGUGGAGCGGUGAAAUGCGUUGAUAUCUAUCGGAACGCCAAAGGCGAAGGCAGACAGCUGGGCUUGUCCUGACGCUGAGGUACGAAAGCGUGGGGAGCGAACGGGAUUAGAUACCCCGGUAGUCC